GUCAAAAGAGUCCUCAGAAGUGUCCUGAGCGGUCGCAGGGUAAUGACGUCGGCCGUAUCGGGGAUGCUGGAACCUGCGGUUGAGUGAGAAACCGGCGCCACCGCCUGCGUCUUGGUCUCGGGCUGGUGGCCAGCGGGGUCUGGGCGUGGUUUUACCCAGCUCCUUUGCGAAGCUGCUGUCCUUUCCUCAACGUUACCACCCGGCUGGGCAGCCUACCCUCGCAGCAACAGGUGUGCACCUUCCAAGCUUGCAACAGACCACAUUCAGAAGCUUGAUUUCUUGUUGUUCUGGGAAUAUCUGGAUCAGAGAUUUCUCCAAGCCACUCUCCCCGUCAUCUCCUCCACCCCCAGGACCCAACUCCUGCCCCUCCCACCCUAGCCCCUGUUCUCCCUGCCCACCUCCUACCCCACUGGAGUGGCCUUUCAUCAAACCUAAACCAAAGAAACCAACAGACCUUGCUGUCACCACUACUCCGGGACCUGGAAGUUAAAGCGAGGGAGAGACGGUGAAACACAGAAAGCAGAACGCCUUCUGUUCUUCCACAACACAGGGUUUGUGGACGUGGCCACUAUAAGAACUCGCACUGCGUGCUGAUUAUACUCCUCAGCACAAUUCAUUUCUUAAACUUUUUAGAAUAAUUUAAAAUUUACAAAAAGUUGCAAAAAUAAAAACCAGUAAACUUUUCACCUUCA
ensembl:lncRNA LINC01431 long intergenic non-protein coding RNA 1431